rnacentral:lncRNA from 1 species
CUAAAAUUGAAUUUGAAUAUAAUAAUAUGUAAUAUAACAAAAUCAGGAUAAAUUCGUUACACAGUGUUCAAUUGUCCUAAUACGGAAUUUAUCGGGUCAAUAAAAUUCAUAUCGGGUUUGGCUUCGCCUCACCCGAUAUGAAUUUUAUUGACCCGAUAAAUUCUCGUAUUAGGACAAUUGCACACUGUGUAACUAAUAAUAU